rnacentral:rRNA from 1 species
GACGGAGGAUGCAAGCGUUAUCCGGAAUGAUUGGGCGUAAAGCGUUCGCAGGUGGCUAUUCAAGUCUGCUGUCAAAGACCGGGGCUUAACCCCAGAGAGGCAGUGGAAACUGAAUGGCUGGAGUGCAGAUCGGGUAGAGGGAAUUUCCAGUGUAGCGGUGAGAUGCGUAGAGAUUGGGAAGAACACCGGUGGCGAAAGCGCUCUGCUGGACUGCAACUGACACUGAGGGACGAAAGCUAGGGGAGCGAAAGCG